GACAGAGGUGCCGAGCGUUAGGCGGAAUCACUGGGCUUAAAGCGCGUGUAGGCGGCUAAGUAAGUCGGGCGUGAAAUCCCACGGCUCAACCGUGGAAGUGCACUCGAAACUGCAUAGCUAGAGUCCUGGAGAGGAAGGUGGAAUGCUUGGUGUAGAGGUGAAAUUCGUAGAUAUCAAGCGGAACACCGGUGGCGAAGGCGGCCUUCUGGACAGUGACUGACGCUGAGACGCGAAAGCGUGGGGAGCAAACAGG
rnacentral:rRNA from 1 species